UACGGGGGGGAGCAAGCGUUGUUCGGAUUUACUGGGCGUAAAGGGCGCGUAGGCGGCCACCGCAAGUCAGUUGUGAAAUCUCUGGGCUUAACCCAGAAAGGUCAACUGAUACUGCGGGGCUAGAGUGCAGAAGGGGCAACUGGAAUUCUCGGUGUAGCGGUGAAAUGCGUAGAUAUGUGGAGGAAUACCGGUGGCGAAGGCGGCCUCCUGGCUUAAUACUGACGCUGAGGUGCGAAAGCGUGGGGAGCGAACAGG
rnacentral:rRNA from 1 species